rnacentral:rRNA from 1 species
GCCUACACAUGCAAGUCGAGCGCACCCUCGGGUGAGCGGCGGACGGGUUAGUAACGCGUGGGAAUAUGCCCUUCACUACGGAAUAGCCUCGGGAAACUGAGAGUAAUACCGUAUACGCCCUUCGGGGGAAAGAUUUAUCGGUGAAGGAUUAGCCCGCGUCUGAUUAGAUAGUUGGUGGGGUAACGGCCUACCAAGUCGACGAUCAGUAGCUGGUUUGAGAGGAUGAUCAGCAACACUGGGACUGAGACACGGCCCAGACUCCUACGGGAGGCAGCAGUGGGGAAUCUUAGACAAUGGGCGCAAGCCUGAUCUAGCCAUGCCGCGUGAGUGACGAAGGCCCUAGGGUCGUAAAGCUCUUUCGCCAGGGAUGAUAAUGACAGUACCUGGUAAAGAAACCCCGGCUAACUCCGUGCCAGCAGCCGCGGUAAUACGGAGGGGGUUAGCGUUGUUCGGAAUUACUGGGCGUAAAGCGCGCGUAGGCGGAUUGGAAAGUUGGGGGUGAAAUCCCGGGGCUCAACCCCGGAACUGCCUCCAAAACUAUCAGUCUAGAGUUCGAGAGAGGUGAGUGGAAUUCCAAGUGUAGAGGUGAAAUUCGUAGA